GAUUCUGUAGUGUAGCGGUUAUCACGUUCGCUUUACACGCGAAAGGUCCUCGGUUCGAACCCGGGCGGAAUCA
rnacentral:tRNA from 1 species